rnacentral:rRNA from 1 species
UACGGAGGGUGCAAGCGUUAUCCGGAUUCACUGGGUUUAAAGGGUGCGUAGGUGGGCUAGUAAGUCCGUGGUGAAAUCUCCAAGCUUAACUUGGAAACUGCCGUGGAUACUAUUAGUCUUGAAUAUUGUGGAGGUAAGCGGAAUAUGUCAUGUAGCGGUGAAAUGCUUAGAUAUGACAUAGAACACCGAUAGCGAAGGCAGGUUACUACUAAUGGAUUGACGCUGAUGGACGAAAGCGUGGGUAGCGAACAGG